rnacentral:lncRNA from 1 species
AGCACCCCGACCCCCGCCGGCUACCGGCCCCUGCACCCCGACCCCCGGCUGGGCACCGGCCCCUCACCCCGAGACCUCCCCCGGUCCCCAGGCUCAGGCUCAAGCCCCCUUUGCACGCCCCUUCCCCUCCUGGGAGCAGGGCCAUGCAUUGGUUACUGCUUGGGAAGAGCUCCACUCCCACUGCUUUUUACCUCAAAUCGGGAAUGGGGACCAUGUGUGGGUUGUUAAUCAGGAUCUGCUAAUUAAGGGCUCCCAUCCUGCCCUGGUGUAUGUAGCAGUCUCUGUUUUGCAUGGCCCCUGUAUUGAGGGGGUGUCCAAGGAGGGAUAUUUGGGGUAGGAGUAUUUGGGGUAGGGGUAUUUGGGGUAGGGGUAUUUGGGGUGUUAAAGGGGUGCCCCUAUACUUGCUGCUGAAGGGUCCAGCCACCCAGGGACCCCCCCAGAGGCAGCAGUAUGUGAGGAAGGCAGUCCUGGCGCAGAGGAGCUGCCCUUGGCCAGCAGCUCUUGCAGCUGGGGAGCGGCGUGGCCUUGCCAUGCCCACGGAUGGACGGACGGACGGAUGGAUGGAUGGCCAGAGGACUACAAUCCCCGGCAGGGAGCGAAGUGCCGGGGGGAUGCCGGGACUGGUAGUCCCCGGGCCCGCUGUGGGGUCCCCGCUGUCACCGGUGGCUGGGGCGGGGGACCCGGAGGGGAUGUACGGGCUCGGGGAGGAGCCAGCGCCUUCACCCACUUUGUUGUUAAAUACCUUAAAGGAGCAGUGGCUGCGCCCGAGCGAGCUCCCUAGCGGAGCCGCGCAACCCGGGCCGUGGGCUUUUUAAAGAUAAAAAUCACUCGCGUGGCCUUUGGGAUUAACGGGCUCCGUAACUCCUUCGGCGCCUGGGCACCACCGGUGGCCUCGCCAUUGGGCUGCUCCCGCAUCCCCUCGGAGCAUCCUCCGCCGAGCAUCCUCCGGUGCUCCCAGGGCCGAGAAAAAUUGGUGCCGAGGCCGUUUCCUCGCAGGGAACAUCCCCGCUCGGCAGCCCUGCGGAUAAAAAGCUCCGCAGAGAGGCAGGGAGCGGCACCGUGGGCAGCCGUGCGCGUUUCUCGUGGCACAGCCGUGACCCGGGGAUUUUCCCCCCCCCCCGGCCCCGGCGUAAGGCAGUCUGGCACACGGUGCCUCCAGCCAGCCCAGCCCUGGCGUGUGCCCAGCCAGACACCCACAUGAAAGCCGCCGCGGCUCGCCUGGCUCCCAGCCAGUGGCCACCUCCAGGCAGCUCGCGAGGACCUGGGGGGAGCCGAGAGCGAGGCACCCACCCCUGGAGGGCGAGGGGUGAGGGGUGAGGGCUGGGGUUGGCAGCGGGGCACACGGUGGGACCAGCACCUGGGUGCGGACCCCAUAACGGGAUGGGGUUGUCUGUGAAAUGCCGGUCCUGGUAGAGCCGUCCGGCC